rnacentral:lncRNA from 1 species
AUGUUGAGAGUCAAUGGCCAGAUGGUCUGUUUUCAGCAUGAGUUAGUUCCCUCCCGUCCUUCUGGGGGUGUGGUAGGUGCCUGUGCUGGGGUCUCUGGCCCCACCACAGGCAACUCAGGGGACUCGGAGGGAGACCUCUUAAGUGACUUUCCUGGUCAGGAAGGCUCCCCAUUUUCUUCCUUCCCCUCCACUCCCCACUGCAGUUCCCACCCCUUCCAGCAGAAGCUGACUUUCCCCGUUUCUCAGUGGUUUGUCCACAGCCCACCCCUGCCCCCACCCACUGAGGAAGUGAACGGGGAUGGAGCUGCAGCACUGGGCACAGCUGGGUUCUCCCCCUCCUUCUCCCAGAUCCCUGUUGUAUCCCGUGUCCACGGCUGGUGGCUGCCCUGCCUAUGGGGCUCCGACUCCAGGGCCCACCCAGUCUGUCAGGACCGGCAGGUACGGCCACACAGGUUGUGCACUGUACCAGGGCUCCUGGUCUGGGGGCCUGGAAAGGGCUGCAUGUGUGUAGAGGGACCAUUGGUAAUUUGCAGAAGUUACAUGGAUUGGGGGCCUGGAAAGGGCUGCAUGUGUGUAGAGGGACCAUUGGUAAUUUGCAGAAGUUACAUGGAUUGGGGGCAGGGGGCUCUUUGUCCCCUGACCAUUUCCUUGAGAAAGGUUCUCUUUUCCUCGACUUCACACCCAUUUCUAGACCCAGAAAGUUUUAGCUGGAGGUUUCUGACUCCUCCCAGUUGGGGCUGAGGAGAGGAAAGGCUGGUGGGAGCAGAAGAGGUGGGGAGCUUCUAUGAGCCUUACAGUAAGAAGAGGAGAGGGGACGUCAGGUGGGGCCUUGGCAGGGCCUGAGGCACAGAGCUGACGCUUGAGGCGAAGCCUGAAGAGCCAGGCCUGGGCUCACUUGGAAUCACCCUGUGUCUGGAAAGGGGAUCCUGGGGGAGACGUGACCGUUGGGCUGUAUGCCGAGGUCCUGCGAGCCUCGUAGUAGCCCAGCCUCAAGACCAAAGAGCCCAGAGACAGAGACAACAACUUAUCAGAUGGGGGAAUCUUACAUAGCUGAAGCCACAUCCUGGAGCAACACCCCACUGUGGACGGCAGACGGCAGGCAGGACAUGGCAGCACCGUCUGCUACUCUGGAGGAGGAGGCGGCUACCAGUUAUAGAGAGCAUUGACUUUAGAUGGGCUCAUCAGUUACCAGGGAAACCAGCUGGGGGCAGGGGCAGGCAUGUGGACAGUCACAGAUAAAGGCCUAUGAUUAACAGGAUUGAACAGUCCUGUGUGUGAAGUAGGGACUGGUGGAGCAGGAGAUGCACAGACAGCAAGUGAACAGCCAUCUUGAGUGGCCUGGCCAUACACCCACACAUCUUGCAUGACUCUUAUAAUCCUGGCCCUGCCCCUCUUCUGAGAUAUCCCUGGGGUCAGGUAUGCAGAGGUGCAUUGCAACCAGAUACCACAAAUAUAACUACAGAUUGUUGUUUUUGCUGUUUAGUCUCUAAGUUGUUUUCAAUUCUUUUGCAACCCCAUGAUAACAGUAGCUAGAAUACCAAGAAUUCCCAGGUGGUGCAGUGGUAAAGAAUCAGCCUGCCAACACAGAAGACACAAGAGACACCAGUUCGAUCCCUGGGUCAGGAAGAUCCCUGAGUAGAAGUGGCUACCCACUCCAGUAUUCUUGCCUGGGAAAUCCUGUGGACAGAGGAGCCUGGCAGGCCACAGUCCAGG